CUUUUUAUGGGUGACUGUUGCUCUGUUGGGCGUGGCCGUGACUGUGAGUGUGCGUAGUCGAGGUGGGAGACCAAGUCGGAGGAGCAUACCACAUUUGGAGGAUAAACAUGUUAAGAGAUGUUCUCCAGUCUAAGCUGGGGGGGUGGAAACAUUGAUGGAUGUUACACCAGGAGAGAUGGUAAACCUACUGGUGGCUGACAUGAUCGAGGUUCAUGGGAGGAUCCCUCCAACAUAUGUGCGAAAAAAGUAUGCUCUUGGCAUCAUCACUCUAUUUCCAUGUCUUCAAGAUCCAUACUCAAAGAAAGGAUACAUACACUUCUAUGAUCCAGAUGGUGGAUCUGGCUACUUGGCAUGGAGGAUAAAGACGGUUCAGCGCAACACUGCAAUCCAGUCCCGGAGAUGCUCCCCCAGCACUACCUAUCAAGAUGGUCCAAAGAGCAAGAGGGAUUUUCUCUUAACUUGUGAGCAACUGACUGGCGAGGAAUGCAGAGAGGCAAUAUCCUUCAUGAAGCAUUCAGCUGAUUAAUCAGUUGUCAAAGAGAAGAUGAAGGCAACAUUUCAAUUCCAAGCAUUGAUCCAAGACCAGCGAGCCUCUUCAACAGUCCUGGAUGUGUUUCCUUGACAUCCCUGGUUUGAUUGACCAAGAUUUCACCAUGAUGUUUGGAGAAGACAUUUCUGGAAAUUUUUUGGCGAGAUGGCCCACUUUCUUCAAACCUAGGAUCUUGGCAGACUAUUGGAGCCAGUGUUGAGACCUUCCUUUUGAAGUUUGGAACCAGGGCAGCCGUUCCUGCUGUGUGUUGAAGAACAACAUUCAACGGUUCUAUGUCAUCGUUGACCACAAGGCCAUACCUUGCAAGGGGCAGACAUCCAUGGCAGCCUUCGAUGAACUCUUCAAAGCCCACUUCAUCUUCAGUGUCAACUACCAUGAAACCCUCAACAGCUUCUACACUUUCAUCCAAACCACGGUAUUUAACAUUGAUAUUCAAGUGCCAAAGAGAGUCCCAGAGUCAAAUAACUUAGAGCAAGGCUUCUGCACACUGAUACCUGAAAUUAUAUACACCCCUGGUUGCAAAUAUGCUGAUUUGUUUUAUCUGCAAGGGACACCACAAAAGUUCUGCAUUGCUUUGUCAGCAUUUCAAAUUUCACCAUGGUUUAUAUCCCGGAAAGUCAUUACGUUUGAAAUGUGGUUAGCCGGGAUGUUCUUUAUCAUUUUGUACUUAUUCAGGGUGUAAAAAGCACCUUCAGUCAGCACAAGGACACUGGUUUAACUAUUACAAUGAACAAUGUGGACACUCAACGGGAUCUGAUGAACCUUCAAGUUCUCAUGCAGUUUGUACUGACACUUCCGUAACCUUCCAGGUUACUUUUGAUAAGCACACUGUAAAAAAAAAAAAAAAAAGGAAAGUCAAAUUUACGGUAAAUAACCGGCAGCAGGGUUGCCAAAACUCGACCGUAAAAAAAAUGGUAAAAACGUAU